rnacentral:lncRNA from 10 species
CAGCCCCGCGGUUGUGGGUGUCCCGCGGCGCCGGAAACUGGGCGCACACACCCUCGGAUUGACGUGCGCACGCGCACCGGUUACCUUCAGGAGCGCCGAAGAAGGAAAGAAGACUGCCAGCUCCGUGACAGCAAGAACCUUGUAUGACUUUUUCAUGAUGGAUGUUCAUCUGUGCCAUCUGUAAAUAUUGAAUAAAUAUUUGUGGAAUACAUGAAUCUAAAAGUGAAUGGAAUGAUAAAGAGGGAAAGGGUCAUGACAUCUACUACAGCAUUUGGCACAGACCCAGCUGUCUGCAGUACUAUCAAGAGAUGACAUGGACUUCAAGGAUCAAACAGGGGAGAAAAAGGCUUAAAAGAAAAACAAGUCUCCAUCAAAGGUAAUAACCACAAUGAGAACUAUACAUAGCUAUGUGCUUAUAGGUCUUAGUUCACAUUCCCCUCAUUAAAAUUAUAGCUCAAGAAAUAAAGGGCUGUUUAAUGACUUGGGUAUAUAAAUAUACUUCAUUUGUAUAUUUUUUACUUGCUAAAAUCUAUCCAAAUUGGUAUUACCUCAAACCAUAAUCUUCUACUGUAUUUUAUAAUUUUACUUUAUUGCCAUGUAUUUUUCCCACUGAUGUUCACAAAUUCACAGGAAACAUCAGCCAUGUACUAAAUAAAAUAUGAAUUGAAUCGACAAAUAGAACUAUAAAUUUAAUUCAAGCACAUGUAAAAUUUAGACCAAAGAAUAAAAAUGUCUAUUAAAAAUACAGCCAAGCAUGGUGGCUCACACCUGUAAUCCCAGCACUUUGGGAGGCCGAGGUGGGUGAAUCAUCUGAGGUCAAGAGUUUGAGACCAGCUGGCCAUUGUGGUGAAACCCCAUCUCUACUAAAAUACAAAAAUUAGCUGGGUGUGAUGGUGGGCACCUGUAAUCCCACUACUUGGGAGGCUGAGGCAGGAGAAUCGCUUGAACCCAGGA